UUUUAACUAAUUUUGAUAUGGAUUGAAGGAUAGCAUCAAAGAUUUGUUAUUAACAAUGCCAAAAGUAAAAUCUUUGGAAUAAUUUAUUACUUAAGCCAUUACAUGCGAUAAUCAUUUAUUUGAAAGACAUCAAGAACAAAGAUUUAAUUGAAGAGGAAGAAGUCAAGUAAUGGCGGCAGCUCCUAAGUUUUUUAAAACGUAUUUGUCAAAGUCGGAACCAAUGUAAAUUGAUAUGAUAUAUUUAAAAUCUCUCACGAAGCACAAAAAGUCUCGACUUCACCAAGAAGGAUUGUGUUUAUAUUGUGGAGAAGCUAAGCACAUUAUUCAAUAUUUUCCAAAGAAGCAACACAAUUAUAAAAUGAAGAGCACAAUUACCAAAGAAGAUAGUAUGUCAAAAAAUGAGUUUCUCUAGCUACAAUAGGAACCGUGCGGCUGGAAUCAUGUGCAAUACCUAGUAAAGGACUUAUCUUCUCCUCAGACCCCUCACCUUAUUUUAUAAUAGAAGUAUAUUUAGGACCUAAUAAUCA
rnacentral:lncRNA from 1 species